ACUCCACAACAUGAUGCAAGAACCAGCAGCUAUAGUGUAAAGGAGAAGACACAGUGACCCAGCCAAGAGAAGAUGUUACUGCUGCUGAAGGAGACC